rnacentral:misc_RNA from 1 species
UACGGGAGGGGUAAGCGUUAUUCGGAAUGACUGGGCGUAAAGGGCGUGUAGGUGGUUCUAGAAGUUGCUAAUGAAAGCGCGGGACGCAACUCCGUAAACGUUAACAAAACCUAGGUAACUUAUGAGUUCGGUUGGGGAUGGUGGAAUUUCUAAUGGAGCAAUAAAAUGCAUAGAUAUUAGAACGAACACCGAUGGCUAUUGCAACCAUCCAGGCCGGUACUGACACUGAUGCGCUAAAGCUUGGGUAGCGAACAGG